rnacentral:rRNA from 1 species
GAAUCUGCCCUCAGGAGGGGGAUAACGGCUGGAAACGGCCGCUAAUACCCCAUAUGCCGAGAGGUGAAAUGAAUUUCGCCUGAGGAUGAGCUCGCGUCUGAUUAGCUAGUUGGUGUGGUAAAGGCUCACCAAGGCUUCGAUCAGUAGCUGGUCUGAGAGGAUGAUCAGCCACACUGGGACUGAGACACGGCCCAGACUCCUACGGGAGGCAGCAGUGGGGAAUUUUCCGCAAUGGGCGCAAGCCUGACGGAGCAACGCCGCGUGAGGGAUGAAGGCCUCUGGGCUGUAAACCUCUUUUAUCAAGGAAGAAGAUCUGACGGUACUUGAUGAAUAAGCCACGGCUAAUUCCGUGCCAGCAGCCGCGGUAAUACGGGAGCGGCAAGCGUUAUCCGGAAUUAUUGGGCGUAAAGCGUCCGCAGGCGGUUUUACAAGUCUGUCGUUAAAACGUGGAGCUCAACUCCAUUUCGGCGAUGGAAACUGUAAGACUAGAGUGUGGUAGGGGCAGAGGGAAUUCCCGGUGUAGCGGUGAAGUGCGUAGAUAUCGGGAAGAACACCAGUGGCGAAGGCGCUCUGCUGGGCCAUAACUGACGCUCAUGGACGAAAGCCAGGGGAGCG